rnacentral:rRNA from 1 species
CGAAGGUAGCAUAAUCAGUAGUCUUUUAAUUGAAGGCUUGUAUGAAUGAUUGGACGAAAUAUUAACUGUUUCAUUUAAAAUGUUUAUAGAAUUUUAUUUUUUAGUUAAAAAGCUAAAAUUUCAUUAAAAGACGAGAAGACCCUAUAAAUCUUAAUAUUUAUUAUUAUUUUAAUUAUAAAGAUUAUUUUAAUUAUGAUUUUAAUAAAUAUUUUAUUGGGGUGAUAUUAAAAUUUAAAAAACUUUUAAUUUAUUAUUACAUUAAUUUAUGAUUAAUUGAUCCAUUAUUAAUGAUUAAAAAUUUAAGUUACUUUAGGGAUAACAGCGUAAUUUUUUUGGAGAGUUCAUAUCGAUAAAAAAGAUUGCGACCUCGAUGUUGGAUUAA